CUGUAGAUCAGAUUCCCAAAACAAAACAAAACAAAACCGAUCAGCACUUUUAGCAAAUGUGUUCUACCAAAUGAGAAGAAGGCACAAAAAGAAUUUGAGACCAGUUCAAGUCCAGGAAGAAGUUACAGCAUGGAAAGACUGAAAAAACUUGGAGUUGGAACUGUUGAUGGUCUUUUUUUUCAUGGACAUGUGGACAUGCAGGAUGCAUAACAGCGAGGGGAUUCUGUCCCCGGAUGAGAAAGCACUAAGCAGAGCGGCGAAGUAAAGGCAGCAAAGCGGCAGAACAGCAGAGCAGCAAAGCAGCAGCCGACCAACUUCCUGUGCCGAUGCGUUUUGAGCCCACAACCCGGAAGUGCUAUGAUCCUCCAAUGGGACACCCUUUACCACGGGAAGGUGAAACAAAUCACCCAGCCGAGUUCCCACUCUUGGGGGUUCUUGACGAACUUCCCCAAAAGACGGCCAGACGUCUGCCACAAACAUGAGCUGCAGCCCCUGUUCAAGCCCACAACA